AAAGAUUAAGCCAUGCAUGUCUAAGUCCAAGCUGUGUUUACACGGCGAGACCGCGGACGGCUCAUUAAAUCAGUCGUGGUCCAAAUGGGCCAGUCCUUUUUACUUGGAUAACUGUGGUAAUUCCAGAGCUAAUACAUGCAACUCAUACCCUGAUGGGAGUUCCCUCUUGCGCUUGUCGCCUGGGGUGCUUCUUCCUGAAGGGUGCUUUUAUUAGACCAAACCGCUGGGGGUUGUCGUGUUUUCGCGUGCGUCUUCUUUGCGUGCUCCUUGUGUGUGCGUUUGAGGGGCGUGCGCGUGCGGCAGCUUGACUCGCUUUAUGGUGACUCUGGAUAACCAUUUCUGACAAGCGCACGUACCCCUCUCCGAGUGGGACGGCGCUGCCACUUUCGAGUGUCUGCUCUAUCAGCUGUCAACCGCUCGCUACACGCGAACGAUGGCUUUGACGGGUAACGGGGAAUCAGGGUUCGAUUCCGGAGAGGCAGCCUGAGAGACGGCUACCACGUCCAAGGACGGCAGCAGGCACGCAAAUUACCCAAUCCCAGCAUCUGGGGGAGGUAGUGACGAAAUCUAACGAUGCGAGCGCCCUUACCGGGCCUCGCAAUCGGAAUGAGCGCUUUCUAAACAACCCAUUGAGAACCUACUGAAGGGCAAGUCUGGUGCCAGCAGCCGCGGUAAUUCCAGCUUCAGUAGCAUCUAUUAAAGUUGCUGCGGUUAA
rnacentral:rRNA from 1 species